AUUUGAGCAGCUCUUAGAGUAUUAUUUUGAAGCAAUAAAGGUGGGGAAACCUCUCAGAUA
rnacentral:tRNA from 1 species